rnacentral:lncRNA from 1 species
CGAAGCAGUCGUCGUCGAUGGUGUAGAUGUACUUCUUCUUGGAGACCAUGUAUCCGAAGCAGCGGCAGGCAGAGUCCUUGAAGGAGAUGCAGGAGGCCUUGGGGCCGAGGAUGCGGUUGACGUCGUUGCGGUUGUAGAGCUCGUAGUCGAAGCCCUCGGGCACCUUGAUGACCUUGGUCGGGUCGCCGUCCUGCACGAUGAUGAGGUGGUAGGGCUGGAAGAAGGGCCGCCACAUCUCGAGGAAGUCGAGGUUGCGGAUCGUCGGGAUGACGAUGUCCAGCUCGUCCUUGAGCAGCGGCGUCGACGGGGCGGCGGCCAUCGCGGCGAGGCGGGGGAGGCAGGUGACGGACGGGCAGGCGGUGAUCGGCCGGGGUGCGGAGAGGUGUAGGAAACGGACAGGGUAUAUAAUGGAGGAGGAGGCCGGGCGGGGGUUUAUUGCGGGCCCGGCCGGCUGGGCUGAACAGUGGGCCGGCCGCGGCCGGUGUGGGCUGCUCCUUUUUGCCCUUUUCCCCUUUGCUUGUUGUGGAAGUGAGCAGUACGCGGUGUCGGUGUGGUCCUUGGUGAAUUAGUCAGACUUGCCAGAGUGUGCAAUCCAGACUCUUAACAAAAUGGCAUGAUGUCAGCUCAUAUCUAUGAUUACUUUUUCUUUGCCGAGGAGUCCAAUCACAUACUUCUCUGGCGCAUAUUAAUUGUGAUUUAUCCAAACAUAUUCUAAUACUGUCUCCGUUUUUUUAAAGGCUUCAUUAAAAGAAUACAACAGAUGUGUAUAGACGUAAAACCCUAAAAAUAUAGAUAGACAUAAACAUUUUAAAAACUUAUAUUUAAAAACAAAGAAAGUAUUAGAUAUAACAUUCGGUUUAAGUAACAAUUAAUAUGAGAUGCGGGAAAUAACUAUCAAGUUCUAGGAAUAAAGAAAUAAGUUAUUGGCUGGGGUGGGGGGGGUGUCAGUAUCUCAUCUCAUAUUAUCUCACUUUUUUAGGAAAAUGCUAUCAUGGCUUGCUUUAUUCAAAUUAAGUAAGAAUUUUCAUCGACAUAAUUACAAGAUAGAUUAUUCUUAAUGUUAAAUUUACCAAUCUUGUGAGAAGCUUGAUUAGCUUCUCGUAAGCAAUGGCGGAACUCGACGUUCCCAAUCAAAGCAAUUAAGUCCACGCAGUCCGCAGAUAUGGGACACCUUCACUCCACCAAGUAUUGCUUGUGCAUUCACUCACAACUUCUAGAGUGUGAUUCAGUUGUGAUGUGAUUCAAACCAAGAGUUUCUGCAGGAUGAGGGCGUGCUUCAUAGUCAUCGCUUCAACUAUUGAUGCUUCCGAUGCAAAGGAGAUAAAAGUGCAAGAAGCUACUAUAAAAUUGCCAAACCCAUCUCUGAUGAUUCCAGCACUAGCUCACAUGCCUACAUCGAUAUGAAAUGAUGCAUCAACAAUCAACUUUAAAUCAUCUUUACUUGUUUUUUCCAUCGUACCAUCUCUCUAGUAGCAUCUUUUUUGUUGGCCUUGACAAAUGUGUUACAUAGAGCAAGGAUAGACAUCAUCCAAUGUGUUGAUGGUGGAACAAUCUCAUUAUGUGUGGCACUUCUUCGUAUCCACCACAGCUACCAGCAUGCAGUUGCUAUCACCUCGGUUGUACCCAUUCCUUCGAGGUUCUAGAAUUGAUUGAUUGAAGAAUAAGAUCUUCAAGCAUAUGCGAAUUCGACAUGUCUACAACAAAAGCUCCCGAGAUUCAGUCCUCCAGUUUUAAACCAUUCCAGAGUUAUUUAAUCGAUAUACAAUCAAAAAGAAGAUGCAAAAUAUCCUCAAAAUCCGUGUGGUAUAUGGGACACACAGGGUCAGUUCCCACAUGGCGAUGCACUACUACAAUGCCACGCCCAAGAUGCGACCCUAUCCUCAAUUUGGCACGAAUGCCUCGUCAGGGAUAGAAGUGCAUCUCGUCGUGUUGCAAGAAUGGAUAUCGUUACAAGUACAUGUACUGAAAAGGAGAGAUAUAUAUUCAGAGUUGGCUUACACUCGCCACAAGCUACAUCAGAGUCACAUCAGUACAUUACAUAAUCAUCAAGAGUAAGAGCAGGGUCCGACUACGGACGAAAACAAACGAGAAAAAUAAGAACGACGUCCAUCCUUGCUAUCCCAGGCUGCCGGCCUGGAACCCAUCCUAGAUCGAUGAAGAAGAAGAAGAAGAAGCAACUCCAAAUGAACAAACAAUGCGCUCGCGUCAAGUAAUCUUAACCUGUACCUGCAACUGUGUUGUAGUAAUCUGUGAGCCACAGGGGACUCAGCAAUCUCAUUUCCAAAGGUAUCAAGACUAGCAAAGCUUAAUGGGUGAGGUAUGGUUAAGUGGUGAGGUUGCAGCAGCGGCUAAGCAUGUAUUUGGUGGCUAACUUACGAGUACAAGAAAUAAGAGGGGGAAGAUCUACGCAUAACGAACGUGAACUACUGAUGAUCAAAUGAAUGAUCCUGAACACCUACCUACGUCAGACAUAACCCCACCGUGUCCUCGGUCGGAGAAGGAACUCACGAAAGAGACAGUCACGGUUACGCACACAGUUGGCAUGUUUUAAUUAAGUUAACUUCAAGUUAUCUAGAACCAGUGUUAAACAAAGUUUCCACGUUGCCACAUAACCGCGGGCACGGCUUUCCGAAAGAUUUAACCCUGCAGGGGUGCUCCAACUAGUCCAUCACAAAUUACCACAAGCCGCAUAGAAAUCCUCAAUCACGAAGCUCACGAUCUCGUCGGAUUCCCUAAUGGAAAACCUCAACUCUGAGAUUACCCAAAGCAUCACCGGAAUCCCGAUGCACAAGAUAUCUCGUCAAAGGUAAAACUAAUCCAGCAAGGCCGCCCGACGUGUCGACGAUCCCGAUACGAGUCGCGUACCUCGUUCUCAGGACACGACGGAUAAGCGACGCGUACAAGUGCCAAACCUCGAGUUUCCUCGCGGUGGCCCCGCACAGUGCUCUGUUUUGGACCAACACUCAUGAGGAGCACUGGCCCGGGGGUUGAUUAAAUUAUCCUCGGGGUCCGGAAAGUCCCUAUGCAAUUUAUUAGGUGAUUAGGCAAAUGUAGUACCAAAGUUGGGCCUUGCUAGACCAGUCUUAAUCUAAAACGAAUUAUUAAGGGGGUCCCCAUAACAACCCCGAUCGUGUUAGGAGCGCUCGAUUAUGGAACAUAACACCGGUAGCCGGAAACUAAGGGGACAAAGGUGGAACAAAACACCAGGCUAGAAAGGCCGAGCCUUCCACCUUUUACCAAGUAUAUAGGUGCAUUAAAUUAAAUAGCAAUUAAAUAUGGUGAUAUAACAAGGAACCCAUGUCCUCACAUGGAAGUAAUGCACCUGCAACUAGCAACACUAACACAGGAUUAAGCAAGCAGUAACAUAGCCAAUCAGUGGUUUUCUAGGUCGAACAGGUUGAAGGUAAUCAUGGCAUUGUUGAGAGGCUGAUAUUUAACAAGUGGUAGGCAACGAGACAUAAACGAUAGAAGCGGUAAACUAGCAUGGCAAUGAUAGUAAUGGUAUCUGGGAAAAUGAUCAUCUUGCCUGAGAUCCCGCUUGGAAGAAGAAUGCCUCCGUGAAGCAGACGAACUGACGUAGUCGAACGGGUCCUCACAAUCCGACACGCGUGCGGAGCUCUAUCGAGACGAAGCAAACCCGAAACACAAAUCAUCACACGGAAUUCACCACACGAUGCACAACACAAAUGAUGCAUGAGCAGCUGAAAACAUGCAAGUCACGGCAUGAAAAAUCACACAAUCAAACACUACGCAUUAAGUGAAGUUCAAUAUGCACGAGUUGCAUAUUGACGAAACUCCACGUUAAUUUAUUUAGUUCUAUCCCGAUUAGAUACACGACAAUAUUAAUGUUGUCAAACAUGCAAGAGGUGAAGCGGUAAUUGAACUACCUAUCUAGACAUUUUAAAUGAGGUCGGAAAUGACAUAUAGCACCUCCGAAACGACCUCACAUGUUAAUUUACAAUUCUGUCCAGAUCUGAACUAAUGCAUUUAAUUAGUUGUUAAACAGCACAAAAAAUAGGUUCACGUGAUUCUACGUGUCAAGGCAAGCAAUCUACACAUAAAGAACAUCUCCAACGGAGCUACGGAUCAAAAACUACGAGCAAAACAAGAAUUGACUACAAUCUGCCAAAAUCAGCCACAUAGCAUAUUCUACGCCCCACAACUACGGCUACACAACUCCGAUAUGCUCAAGCAAGGCAUGGCACGGAAGAGGGCAAGAAGCACUACUACGAAAAACUAACAACCACUAGCAUGGCAGCAAGGAGCACUAGAACAAGAAGACACAAAACGGCAACUCACACACUAUUUCAGACUUAGUGAAAAUUACACCUCCUGAAAGUGCAGUUUUCGAUCUGAAGCAAUAUUGACAGCAGAAAAAUCCUAAGCUACAGAUCUCCAAAUGGCAUGAAACUUUACAGAAUGCUCGAGAAACACUAGGGGUACAACUAACUCCAUUGGACAAAUCUCAAAAGAGCUACAGAUCACAAGAUGCAAGCAAGACAAGACAGCAACAAAAUAUAACAGAUUCCAGACUUAGAAAUAUUUCAGCACGUCUAAAACAACACUAUUUCUAGCAACUUGAGAGCAAGCAAAACACACCUAAACAUGCAUUUCUAUUGCGACUAAAAAUACCAGAGGCUAAACAAAACAUCUAAGAAGAACUCCCUAGUUGACAACUAAUUCAAACGAGGCACGGAAUAAAUCCUACGAAUUAAACAAAAGGGCAUCACGGGAAAAUAUCUCGCAAACUAACUUCCUCAAAAACUAAAACUAAUUGCACAGAAAAAUCCACUGGAUUUUUCUACCCCGGAAACAUAUAAAAUAUGUGAGGUUUGCAACACAAAAUAAUGUCACACAUUAAAGCGGAAAAAAAACCUAUAUACGGGAAAAUAUACUACCGGUAAUUCCCUGUUGGGGAACGUCGCAUGGGAAACAAAAAAUUUCCUACGCGCACGAAGACCUAUCAUGGUGAUGUCCAUCUACGAGAGGGGAUGAGUGAUCUACGUACCCUUGUAGAUCGUACAGCAGAAGCGUUAGAGAACGCGGUUGAUGUAGUGGAACGUCCUCACGUCCCUCGAUCCGCCCCGCGAACAAUCCCGCGAUCAGUCCCACGAUCUAGUACCGAACAGACGACACCUCCGCGUUCAGCACACGUACAUCUCGACGAUGAUCUCGGCCUUCUUGAUCCAGCAAGAGAGACGGAGAGGUAGAAGAGUUCUCCGGCAGCGUGACGGCACUCCGGAGGUUGGUGAUGAUCUCGUCUCAGCAGGGCUCCGCCCAAGCUCCGCAGAAACGCGAUCUAGAGGAAAAACUAUGGAGGUAUGUGGUCGGGCAGCCGUGAGAAAAAUCGUCUCAAAUCUGCCCUAAAAGCCCCAUAUAUAUAGGAGGAGGGAGGGGGACCUUGCCUUGGGGUCCAAGGGACUCCCAAGGGGUCGGCCGAGCCAAGGGGGGGAGGACUCCCCCCCCAAACCGAGUUGGACUUGGUUUGGUGGGAGGAGUCCCCCUCCCUUCCCACUUCUUCCCUCUUUUUUUUCUUUUCCUUUGAUUUCUUUCUCUUGGCGCAUAGGCCCCCUUGGGGCUGUCCCACCAGCCCACUAAGGGCUGGUGUGUCUCCCCAAAGCCUAUGGGCUUCCCCGGGGUGGGUUGCCCCCCCCCCCGGUGAACUCCCGGAACCCAUUCGUCAUUCCCGGUACAUUCCCGGUAACUCCGAAAACCUUCCGGUAAUCAAAUGAGGUCAUCGUAUAUAUCAAUCCUUGUUUCCGGACCAUUCCGGAAACCCUCGUGACGUCCGUGAUCUCAUCCGGGACUCCGAACAACAUUCGGUAACCAACCAUAGAACUCAAAUACGCAUAAAACAACGUCGAACCUUAAGUGUGCAGACCCUGCGGGUUCGAGAACUAUGUAGACAUGACCCGAGAGACUCCUCGGGCAAUAUCCAAUAGCGGGACCUGGAUGCCCAUAUUGGAUCCUACAUAUUCUACGAAGAUCUUAUCGUUUGAACCUCAGUGCCAAGGAUUCAUAUAAUCCCGUAUGUCAUUCCCUUUGUCCUUCGGUAUGUUACUUGCCCAAAAGGGCCCUAUGCGCCUAGGAAAGAAAAUCAAAGAGAAAAGAAAAAAAGAGGAGGUGGGAAGGGAAGGAAGGACUCCCACCCACCAAACCAAGUCCAACUCGGUUUGGGGGGGAGCCUUCCCCCUUGGACUCGGCCGACCCCCUUGGGGCUCCUUGAGCCCCAAGGCAAGGUCCCCUCCCUCCCACCUAUAUAUACGGAGGUUUUAGGGCUGAUUUGAGACGACUUUUCCACGGCAGCCCGACCACAUACCUCCACGGUUUUUCCUCUAGAUCGCAUUUCUGCGGAGCUCGAGCGGAGCCCUACUGAGACAAGGUCAUCACCAACCUCCGGAGCGCCGUCACGCUGCCGGAGAACUCUUCUACCUCUCCGUCUCUCUUGCUGGAUCAAGAAGGCCGAGAUCAUCGUCGAGCUGUACGUGUGCUGAACGCGGAGGUGCCGUCCGUUCGGUACUAGAUCGUGGGACUGAUCGCGGGAUUGUUCGCGGGGCGGAUCGAGGGACGUGAGGACGUUCCACUACAUCAACCGCGUUCACUAACGCUUCUGCUGUACGGUCUACAAGGGUACGUAGAUCACUCAUCCCCUCUCGUAGAUGGACAUCACCAUGAUAGGUCUUCGUGCGCGUAGGAAAAUUUUUGUUUCCCAUGCGACGUUCCCCAACACAUCUAUCAUAUCCUUACAAAUGCCUUUAGGCAAUUUGAAAACUCCCAUAGCAUAUACCGGAAUAGCUUGUGCAACAGCCUUUAGCUAAGUUUCUUUGCCAAGAACGGAUAGGUUAUUUUCCUUUCCAACCGCUAAUUCUCUACAUAGUUCUCUCAAUAAGGUGUUUCAAGCAAUCACUUCUAUCAAUUCCAACAAGAGCAGGGAGCCCCAAAUAUCUAUGAGAUAGUGCUUUGUUGCCAAUAUUUAGGUGUAAACAUAUAUCAGCUUUCAUCUCAUAUCAUCUCACCUACUUGAAAAGAACUUAGCAUUGUAUCAUCUAUCUCAUCUUUCGUCCAAUCAUCUCCUUCCUCCGUUUCCAACAAAAAUCAUCUCCUUCCCACGCCCACGAAAAGCUCAUCCCACCCCACAUACACGUACUUUACCUCGCCCAAUAUUUCUCAAAUCAAUUUGGUAAGGCAGUUGAUGCAUAUCAAUCGGGUGAGGUAACCUACUUGGUAAGCCAAUAAAUCAUUGCACUCUAUUUACGGCAGUCCAAAAUUUUAUAGCUUCCAAAAAUAAAUUAACUUCCUGGUAUUUCUCAUGAGGCAAUCAUGGUGAUUUAGUUGCCUGCUUUGCAACUACGGUGCAUGGUAAUAUACAAGGUAAUAUACAACGGGCAUGGAUUAUUUGCCUUCGUGUCAUGAAAAGGGAGGAACUUUAUGCCCACAAGAAAUCACAUCUUCCUAAACUAAAGUUUGACAUGGAAACAUUAUAAAGUGGUGGCCCAACCUUCUCUCUCUACGUGGCUUCCAUGUCACGCAUUGUCGCCGGCAUGAGCUCAUCGCCGAUGCGGCCGCCACACUGUACCGCCCUGCACCGCGAUAUGGUUCUAUCCAUUUAUAAUUGAUCAUGUCACCACACUCAAAACGAGAGGCCCGCGGUCAUGCAUAUGGUGCGGGGGUCUGUCCGUCACUUCGGCGAUCGUCAGCAAGUAGUUGCGGUUGUGGUCCUCUGUGGUAGAUCAAGCUUCAUGCGUAUACUCAUCAGCAAGCCAAUAGAAGUCAACGUUGCAUCUGUCCAGUUUGAUCCUGAAAAUUAAGGAAAAUAGUUUGUAGGGUCUCUGGUGGGAUCGUUUUGUUCCGCCCGUGAUAGAUCACGGCAACCCCUCAAAUGAGUCACCGACCGGGGCCAAAUUGGGCUUAAUUCGAUAAUGGGCAAUUUUAUCCCUCUAGAAAAUUAACAUUACAUUCAAGGGCUUUUUGCUAACGGGUCAAAAAAAAGUAAUAGGCUUCAAUGUGUUGAUUUAUGUUUUAGGCAGAAUUUUCAUUCCGGUGCACUUUCCUAUUGUUUAAGGUUCUAUAGUAAUGCAAAUACACGCUUGAUAAUUUGAAAUACCCAAUGGAUAUAGUAUUAUCUAUGCAUGAGCGUUCUCCGUACAUCUAAUACAAUACCGAAAUGCCAGGCUCUUUGCGUACAAGGAAUUUUACUUUACAGCCCCACCCUUUUGUUUUAUCUUAAGCCACCCAUCUCAACCCAUAAAGUGCUUUCCGUAAAACAAAUCCAUAACAACACCAUGGUUGCUCCUUGAGUGCCAGUGCGAUUACUUGAAGAUUACACAUUACAAGGGAGGGUACCUUUCCCCUCUGUACGUUACAGCACGGAGGAGCUUUCAAGUCAAUACGUUACAGUAGCGUCACGCCGGAAAGAGACGCCUGAGUACGCGCAAGCGUGAGAGAGCAUCUUCGUUGGAUGGAGGAGUAGUAGUACGCGCUAGCUAUUGAACUGGUCUGUGAGAUCGGAGGUACGCCGGAGAUCAGGUUACUUUUGGUGAGUGCAUUGAGGAAUCGUACUGCGAUUAACUCUUGCCUUUGCUCAAGUUACACGUUUGUGUUUUCUUUUUAAGAAACUAGUACAAAUGCCCGUGUAUUGCAACGGGCUAUAAAUUUAAUAGAAGUUGGCCCUUGUAAUUUUUUAUAAUUAAUUAAUUUCUAUAACUAACAGUUUCAUUUGCAAUUUUAUUUUGUUAAUUAAUGAUAGCAUAUGCAUUAGAACAUUAUUUUUAUCUUAUUGACAUAUGUGUUUGCAUUUGUAAUCUAAGUGAGUCUUAAUUUGGUUGCAAACAUACUCCCUCUGUCCGGAAAUACUUGUCCUAAACAUGAAUAUAUCUAAACUUAUUUUAGUUAUAGAUACAAUCAUUAUAUUCAUUUUUAGGACAAGUAUUUCCGGACGGAGGAAGUAUUAGACAGCUACAUCUAAAACAAUCAAUUUGUAAGUACAUGCAUACCAAAUAUUUUAGGUUGCGUAUCAAUAUCAAUAUUCUUAAAAUAAUAAUUAGCAAAACAGUUUAUAUAUAUGAAAAAUCAAAGCUCAGCCAUUUUUUUAUGUGAAGCUUGUAUAAACAACAUUGUAUAUUUUUUGUACAUUAAAAACAUUUUUUUGCGUGUGACAUCACAAACAUUAUUAAGUUUUGAUGUCUAAUUUUUUUAAUAUGCAUUUUACAUAUUUUGUAUGCAUCAUGAAUAUUUUUUAUAUACAUGUUUUACAUUAUUCAAAUACACAAUUAAUAUUUUUGAAAAGUUCUAUUUUCUAUGUCUACUUUGUUCCAUACACAUUAUAUAUUUUUGUAUAUGUUUUCUUAUACACCGGAAACAUUUUCCUAUGCACAUUUAAAGUCUUUUAAAUACAUGAUCAAUAUUUUUGAAAAUAAAAGAAAAAUAUAUUAUUUAUUGUCCAUACGCAUUGUACACUUUUUUGUCUACAAAUUUAACAUUUCUUUAAUCCAUGAUUAACAUGUGUGCAAAGUUUAUCGAAAUAAAGGCAAAAAGAGAAAAAAAAUAGAAAAAAGUGUGAAAUAGAAGAACAAAAAGGUUUGUACAUUUUUUUUAUUGUCCAUAUGCAUUGUACAUUUUUUUAUAUGUGGUUACUUUUGUGUCUACAAAUUUGACAUUUCUUUAAUCCAUGAUUAACAUGUGUGCAAAGUUUAUCGAAAUAAAGGCAAAAGAGAAAAAAAUAGAAAAAGAGUGAAAUAGAAGAAAAGGGUUGCAAUCGGGAUCGAACCUGGGUCUCCUGGUGGGGCGGGGCGCACCCAACCGGUUGGCCUAGCCCGUUGUCGUGAUAAAAUACGGAAACGUCAGCCUUUAGAAUGAGAAACAAAGAGCCGAAUCAAAGUUCAAAAACGAAUCGUUUUUGUCACUUACGGGUGGCAUUGGUGAAUAAUUUUGACGAACUUUAGGGGCAAAUUUAAUGACGUACCACAGAAGCAAUAUGUGCUUUAUUAGUAGGUAUAAAAAUAGUUACACGUUCGUGAUUGCCAAGGACUUGUAGUGUACUUGACCAGUACUAAAACAUCUCCAACCGCGUCCUCAACACAUCCUUCAAGACCCUUUUUUAUCGCCGGUCCAAAAAAACCCGGUCGAGUCGCGUUUGAGGAGCCUGUUUUUCGUCGUUAGGGCCGAAUUUUGUCCCAGCGGUCCCAGGCCAAACCCAACGUGUUGCGGAGCAUCCCUGGGCGCGAACGAAAACAUUUUUGACGCGAAACGCGUGUGGACCCGUCGAGUCAGCGACUAGGCGCGUUCGUCGUCCUCAUCUCCUUGUUUUCCGCAGAAAUUAAUGUGAAGGCUGCACCGCCGAUCAGCCUUUCAUUGAUUCUUGACGGACGGUGCAGUGAAGGCGCGGCGACGCGCGUCCCGUCCACUCCCGCCACGCGUUCACAUGGCUGUCGCCCGCUCGUCGGCCGCCAGCGGCUAUAUAAGCCGCCCCUUCCUCGACGGUUCUCGCACACCUCUCGCCAGACUCUCGCGGCCGAUGCCCCUCUCCUCUUUUCGCCCCCUUCGUCAACGGCGCCUCCUCUCUCUCCCUCCACCAUUAUCCGAGCGCUACCCCUAACGACGGAAUGGCGUCCAAUGGCCGCCGCCACCUGCAUGAGUCCGAAGCCUGCCUCCUCUACGAGGCGGACUACUCGGCACCACCGGACAUGCGAGUGCCGAGCUCGUGGAGGCUGAGCGCCGGCGGGAUCCCGGUGUCAAUGCCUCCCUCUGGAGCUGACAAGCGCGCGGAGAUUGUGUGCAUCCGGUAGUUGUUGUCGAAGAGUUCGCACAGAACGUGUCGAGGUAAGCCCCCGACAGCAACAUGGAUGGGUACUUCUAAUGCCGCCAUGCCGACCAGCUUGUCGCCACCAACGAUGCCAACCCCCGUGGUCGCUUCAACUCCGAGGGGCGACGCCAAUGUUGGGGCGUCCUCGGCCGCGCGUUGGAGGCCGUCCUCAAGCACAUCGAGGGCAGGGGGUGCAGCAUGAUGGCGCGUGGCGGAGUGCAGAACAACGACGACGGCGCUACACCAACUUCUACAAACUUCUCGACAUGUAGAAGGCGGCGGCGUAGUAGUAGUUUUUAAAUUUCGUUCAAAUUUGUGUCGUUUUCGGCCGAUUUUAGGCUGAAUUUGAUUUUAAAUAAACCGGCUAGGGGCGACCUUGGGAGGACGACUGGGAACCCGAGCCCCCCCCCCCCUCCACACACACAGGGUCCGCCAAUUUUUUCGUCGGCGCGCCCUGAGCUGGCGCUAUUUCAAGCCCUGAGGCCCGAACGGUUGGAGAUGCUCUUAACGUUGACGAAAUGGUUCGUGGGUGUAUUCAUAGAGGUGAGCGUACGUGAGCAACAUCGACUGUACUCCGUUUAAAAAAUUGACUAGAGCGGGGUUGAAGACAAGUUUUUCUUCUCUUUAUUUUUUUGCAGGGAAUAAUUAUAUUUUAAUAAAUAAAAACAUCCAAAGGUAGAUCUAAUAAAUAAUUAAAUAUCAUGGAAAAUAAAGAUCAUUACAAUGGACAGACAUACUAGACGUAGAAGGACUAGUAAAAAUUAAAAUUAUUUUAAAAAUUAUACUAGUCUUCUCUUCCUUCGAUUGUACGCCUUCCACUCAAGAUUGAGAAUUGCAUUGAAUCAAGAAAAAGGAAAAACGAACAUCUCCAAAAGUCCUCAUGAGUCAUAUGUGUUUUCAUGUUUCCUCUUUGUCAUCACCAUUGAUGGUGGUCAGUUGUCUACCUAUUUACGAUAAAUGUGAUCAAUCCUCAUGCCGUGAGCUAAGUCAUUACACUCUACCAUGCCGAUUUCACGAGCCCCUCCCUGCAUUCGCCUUCACAAUCCGGUCUUGACAUAUCAGGCGGUGCAUUUCAUUCUUAACCCCGCACAAUUAUAAUUUUUAAUGCAAAUUAUGUUAAGGUGUGAUGCUAUCAACUCCUUGACUGAACAUAAGUUGCAUACACUCCAUUGUCGCUACCAUCCAGUUUCUUCAGCUCUACCAUGAACUUGGACGUGUUUCCGACAACGAACUAUGUCGUGUUCUUCUGCCACAGCUAUCUAACCAAAAAUCAAACAGUUAGCGUCCCUAACUUACAUAUACAUGAUGUCAACACUGAUUCCUUAACAUUAUACUUUGGUCUUCUCGCAAGAGGUUCUCAUAUACUCCAUAGGAAUCAUUAUCAUUACAUGAGAUAACUGCAUGACAAAACAAUGUGAGUGUAACCUUAUUUUUUCUAACCAUCAAGUAAAAAAGGUGAAAAUUAAUAUUCACGAAGUUCGUUCCCAUUGACUGUAAAUCAAUCAAUUCUUAACUUUACUUUUGUAUUUCCCGCAAAAACAAAAAAACUUGACUUCCACACUACCUAAAUAAUUCAUAACUCCAUUUAAACAUGGCCAAGCAUAACUUAUAUGUACCACACGAAAUUCAAAACAACACUAUCAGGAAAUGGAGUACACAACGUACAUGUAGGUUCCUUUCGUUUUGCGCAGGUACAUACUUAGCUUAUGUGAUGACCUCAUUUAUUUAGGGGGUCCUCUCUCCCAUCUCACAGUUCUUCUAAUUCCAUUCUUCCAGCUGAAUCUAUUCCCUCUUUUAGUUGCUUAUUCAUUUCUAAUUUUUUCCCUUCCUUCCUGCUCAUAAGAGGAAUUAAUGAGACCUCUAUCGCAUCAGCCAAAUUUAUUUACUCGUUAUUCUAAUUUUUAAUUUAUUUAUGGUCAAAUUUAUUUUCUUCUUCUAAUUCUUUCCCUUCGCCUCUACCUCAUCAUAACAAAAAGAGAUGUUAGAGCAUAUUUCUUCAUAUGUGGUUUUGGUAAUUGAUGAUAAUCCUUAUGGACUAAUGGUUGCCUUAAGUUAUAUUCGAAGGAUUUGUUCAUAGGCACUUCUUGAAGUCCAACUGUUGGUUUCAAGGAGUUUAUAUGACGACCAAUGUAGUUUUCAAGGUAUUAUUCAAAGAUUGGUCAUAAAGACAUAAGGUUGAUCAAGACUAAGUCAAAGAGUAAAUCAAGUUGAUCAACUCACAAAGCGUACAAGAUGUACCGAGAGGGAUCAAAUGAUCUCAUGGUAUGGUAAGCAUUGUCCAUUACGCUUUUGUGUACUUAGGUGUGUUUCCAUGGGCUUCGUGAGAGUUCUAUGUGGGCUUAGGUGUGUUUCCAUGGGCUUGCGUCAAGAGGAAGAUCUCAUUCAACCCAUGAAGGAUGACAUCAAGUGGUGAUCGUCAUCAAGAUUGUGAUGUGUAAGUUCAAGUGAAGCAUUACGAAGAUAUCAUGCUUGAAGCUUGCCGUCCAUUGUGGUGGCAAUGGACUUGUGAAGAUGUGUUGAAGAGUGACUCACCCAUAGUGAGUAUUGGGAAGCAAUCAACUAUUCUUCAUCAAGACAAUGCAAUCAAGAAAGAUGGUUCAUCUUGAGGAAGUCAAGAUUGUCAUAAUCUAGCUCAAGUGGACUAUGUGUAAGGUAUAUGUUUGCCGUUGAUAGUUUUCCUAUUUUAGGAUAGAUUGUCGUACUAUCAAGGGGGCUCUCAACUGAGUAGCUUGAUCUUAUCAUUCGCUGAGAGCUCAAACCAUUUGAAUCCUUGCAUCAUAUUUCUUGAUUCUUGUUUGGUGUUUCUCUUUGUGAGUAUUAGAGCUUAUGGUCAUCUUUAUGACAAGCUCAAAUUCAUCAAAAACGGAGUUCAUGUGCAUCUUCUAUGAUGUUUUCGAUGUUGGAGUUUUUGUCGGUUCUUCAUUCAUAUAAGUUUCACAUCUCUAUAUAAUUGGCAUUUUCAUAACUGUGUGUUCUUAAGAUUUCCAACAGGCUUGAGCUUUCUCAAUUUGGAGCUCGUAUGCGAAAGUUUUGGUAGUUUUAGUGCUGGAGUUGUCCUCUUGAUUCUUGGUAAGCGGAAGUAUCGCUCGGAGUAGAGCGGUACUAACACUUGGCCGGAAGUACCGCUGGAGUUGAGCGGUACUACCGCUUAGGCGGUACUGUCGCUCCCUACUUCCGGCCUCACUUCCGCUUACGUUUCUCGUUUUUCGAUUCUGCUUAGCAAUUAUUUUCGAGCAGAAGUACCGCCCUGAGCGGUACUUCUACUUUGCCUCCCCUGUUUCUUGAGUGGUGGUAGUACGGCUGGUUGGAGCGGUAGUACCGCUCGAGCGGAACUACUGCUCUCCCUGACGCCUAUCUGUUGGCUGCCUUGCAUGUAUUUCCGUGCAAGCGGAAGUACCGCUCCUGCACGACUUCUGGGAAGAAAACUGUCAGAUUUUCUACCACUAUAUAAGGGGGUCUUCUUCCCCAAUGGUCUCUAACUCUUGAGCUCGUAUUUGCCCCUAUUGUUGACCUUCUUAGAGCUUGCUAACUCUCAGUCCCUCCAAUUAUUCUUGCAAGUUCUUAAGGAAAAAGAGAGAGGAGAUCUAGAUCCACAUUUCCACCAAUCACUUUCUCCUCUAUGUGAGGGGGACCUCUUGGAUUUUGAUCUUGCAAUUCUUUGUGAGCUCCUUGUUCUUCCUCUCAUAUUCCUUCAUAACUUUUUUUGCUGUGGAGGGAUUUGAGUGUGAGGGACUUGACCACUUCAUGGGUUCUUGCCAUUGCAUAAGUUGCAUCGGUUAGUUCUCCACGGUGAUACGUAAAAGUGAAAAGUUGAGAAGCUUAUUACCCUUGGGUUCUUGGUAGCCUAGAGAUUGUUCUUCGUGGAUGCUUUGGCAUCCUAGAAGCUUGGUGGCGCCCCAGAGCUUAAUAAUUGUGGUGUAAAGCUCCGAGCAAGCGUCGGGGUCUCCAAUUAGGUUGUGGAGAUUGUCCCGGGCAUUUGAGGUUACCUCGAAGUCAUAUUCCAUUGCGGUGAAGCUCCUCGUGUUGUUGGGAGCCUCCAAUUAAGUUGUGGAGAUUGCCCCAACCUUGUUUGUACGGGUUCGAUGACCGCUCUCAAGGGACCCUUAGUGGAAUAACGGUAUCUUGCAUUGUGCGAGGGCGUGAGGAGAUUACGAUGGCCUUAGUGGCUUCUUAGGGAGCAUUGUGCCUCCACACCGCUUCAAGCGGAGAUUAGCAUCCGCAAGGGUAUGAACUUCGGAUACAUCGUCGUCUCCGUGUGCCUCAAUUAUCUCUUACCCGAGCUCUUUCCUUAUGCACUUUACUUUGUGAUAGCCAUAUUGUUUCUUGUUAUAUAUUGCUAUCACUUAGUUGUUUAUCUUGCUUAUCAUAAGUUGUUGGUGCACAUAUGUGAGCCCAGUUGUUUUAGGUUUUGUGCUUGACUAAUUAAACGUUAGUUUUAUUCUGCAUUUGUUCAAGCCUAAACCGUAAUUAUUCUAAAGAGCCUAUUCACCCCACCCCUUCUAGGCGACCUCCACGUCCAUUGAAGAUAUUUAUUCAUUUUUUAUUUUUUUCCCACUUCCUCCACACAAGAGCGGUAUUUAUUCCUUCUUUUAAUCGCUUUCUUUUCUGCUCAUAUUUAUGACCAAAUGGUGCCCACUUCUUGAGGCGGUAUAUUAAUUCCAAUUCAUAGAAAUAUAUAAUUGACGAGAUUUGAUGUAAGAAGUGAGGUGGGACAACUCAAUAGAUGAACAAACGUCCUUAUGUUUACAUGUUAUGUAGCCAUAGCGAUUCAUAUGGGGGAGUACAUCCAGCAUGGCACACUGCACACUAAUAUGAAAUAUUGCAAACCUCAUCUUCUUCACUGAUGAUAGCUAGCUCAAUUGGCUGGGCAUUUAGGAAUAGGAUGGUAGGUCGCAAGUUUGAAUCUCUAGUAACAAUUAUUUUUGCCUCAUUUGUCCUAACAGUGCUUCUAGGCCAUCUUUGUUCGGACGGCGGGUGAGGCCCAAUAGACAUCAGUCUACGCACUCGAAAGAAGAAGAAAAACAAAUAUUAGGGGCACAUACGAAUGGUAACAAGGUUGUGCAGAAAAGCAAAUAAUUGUUUUGGAGGGAAGAAAAAUUAUAAAUAUGGGUGAUAGACAAAAAAAUGCGAGAAACACAACGUCUUUUAUUACUAGUCAUAGAUACAUGUGUCCUCCUCAAGAAAGCAAGGUGGCAACGGCUCCUUGAAGAUAAAGUUUUUUUUAUGUCUAGCACCCGUCUCGAUGGCGCGUUAUCUAACAUCGUUGAAGGAUGUGUAAAGAUGUGUCUCCGAGGGAUUUCAUGAGAUCUUAUCAUUGUUUGUCUUUGAUGGAUUUAAUUGGGUCCAGUAUUCGUUUGGCUGCGUUCGUGUGUCUUUAGGUUUGAUCAUUUCAAGCUAAUCUGGUGUGUUGGUCCUUUGGGACCUUAGAGAAACUUCAAUACCUCACCUCAAAAGCUUUUCGUAAAAGCCAUUGUACGCCUUGUAUGCAUAAUUUAAAGGAAAAUGACUAAGGGCAUCUCCAAAGCUGACCCCCAAAUCAAACACAACAUCCAUCCGUGGACCGAGUGAUGGCGCAGUUCACGCACACUCAUAUGGGAGUCGAACAUUCAAAGCUAGCCGCAUACAUAU